rnacentral:rRNA from 1 species
UACGAAGGGGGCUAGCGUUGCUCGGAAUCACUGGGCGUAAAGCGCACGUAGGCGGGUCUUUAAGUCAGGGGUGAAAUCCCGGAGCUCAACUCCGGAACUGCCUUUGAUACUGGAGAUCUUGAGUCCGGGAGAGGUGAGUGGAACUCCGAGUGUAGAGGUGAAAUUCGUAGAUAUUCGGAAGAACACCAGUGGCGAAGGCGGCUCUCUGGGACGUGACUGACGCUGAGACGCGAAAGCGUGGGGAGCGAACAGG